UCAUGAGCUUAGAAUGAGACCUUCAUAUCUACAUGGGAACAGGCCGCCUGACGUUGGGCACCAUGUUGCACCACCAUGUUGAGAAAGUAGCCCAAAAAGUACAUACUUAUGCCAUCUUUUGCAUAUUGCAGCACAGCUGAAAGACUGAAGAGAAAAGAAGAGGACACGGUAGUUACUCACCUGUACAUCGUCUCCUGGUUGCUGGUCGUCGUGGCAAUCCCUUGGUGGUCAGGUAGAUUGUCCUCUUGGUUGCUUCCUGGAUGAGAUGGAUGAAUUCUACAUACAGGGUCAAUCCAGAGACAACUGGACAUGGGAAUUUUGUUGCACGCCCACAAACGUGACAGAUCCUUCGGCUGGUUUGAUGGCUGGGAAACCCAGAUGAUCAGCGUCUGUGGACCUGCUGCAUCCUUCAUCGUUCUUCACAGCCAUCAUCUCCUCUGCGCGAUCCACUGUUGAGGCCUUCUUGUUUCACCAGAGCCUCUUUAGUCAUCUCUUGUUCGGGGCUCAAGUUGGGCCUUCAUGGCUACUGCAGUGGCCACAGGCUACAAAAGGUCCCCACUCUAUUUCACCCCAAUAUGCAACCCCUUACCCAGGUGUCACGAUGCGAACGAGGCUGGAUUUUGAGAACCCUCAUUUUUGUGAAAUGGAGGAUCAUACAUAUUAUCGCAAAAGAAGCUAUAAUGCAACCUGUAACCUCACCACUAGAAGGCACUAAAUCCUACACGCUGUAGCUUUAAGGACCAUCCCAACAUUCAGCUUUGUAAUUGCACAUAACUGAAUGAAUGUAAAUGGCUGUGAUUGGCUCAUUGCACAUUCAAGUGUAGGAUAGACGUGCAAAUGUGAAAUCUUUUUGAUGACUUAAAGAGAUGGAAAAACAGGGCUGAAUCCACAUUGCUACAAGGUUCUCAUUGACUAACUUUAGCUUCACAGAAAAGUUGCACAUUAUGAAUAUAGUCAGUGAAUGCUUAUACUUUAUAACCGCUUGAAUCCAACAAAGUAUCCUUUAUCCUAAAUGUUAUUUAUUCUUCUAUGCUGUUUAUCUGCAUUCACGUAACCAUCCUGUUUUUUAAAUUUUUUUGUUACUUCUUUUUCUAUUUAAAAAUAGCCUAUAUAUUCAGGUUUUAAUCUUGGCGUGUGGAACCAGAUGAAACUCGUCCUGUUUCCACGCGGCCAAAUGGAGAAACAGAACAAUACCGUUUGACGUCCACACGAGUCCCUUUAUCGAAAUGAAGCAAAUAAAUGCCAGACAUCCAAACCACUGUAUGUGUAGAUUAGGAAUCAAAGGGCACAGACACGUACAUUCCUUAAUUUCUCAUUACGAGCAAUAACACACAUCACAAGUCAAAUCAUCUUUAUAUCCUCUAGCAGGUUUCAGGGAACUCCAAGGAAUGUGGUGGAAUUUUGUCAAUUUCGCCGUUGCAUGUCAGAGCCAUGAGGCAAAACAAAUUGCCUGUCAAGAAGAAAUACACUCUGUACUGUCAAACAAAAUUGUAAUUAGCAAUAAAACAUUACCCAGUGAACACAUCAUGCUUACUAACUGCAUUUCACAGCUGGGGUCACUUUGAAAGAAGUGCCUUUUAUGGAGACUUUUCUUCGUUGUUUUUAAUUUAAAAUGUUCUGAAUAAAAGUGUCAUCAAAGCCAA